rnacentral:rRNA from 1 species
AUCAUAAAAUGACGGGAUGAAUGUAGCUUCGAUCUCGGUUGAAGUGUUUUAUAGCCUCUGGUAGAUGUGAUGAUCGGGAUUGAGGAUUGCAACGAAUACCUUUUAGGCUACCCGCCUGACCUCUGAUGGUUGCUAUGGUGCCGAAAGCUUGCUUACGGUUAUCAGAGUUGAUUGUCAAAAGGUUAGAACGGGUUAAAUUCGUUAAGGAUGUUGACGUAAUGGCUUUAAACGACCCGUCUUGAAACACGG